rnacentral:rRNA from 1 species
CAAGGAUGGGGCCGCGACCGAUCAGGUUGUUGGUGAGGUAAUGGCUCACCAAGCCUUUCACCGGUGCGGGCCGUGGGAGCGGGAGCCCGGAGAUGGGCACUGAGACAAGGGCCCAGGCCCUACGGGGCGCAGCAGUCGCGAAAACUUUGCAAUACACGAAAGUGUGACAGGGCUAUCCCGAGUGCCAUCCGCUGAGGAAGGCUUUUGGCCAGUGUACAAAGCUGGGCGAAUAAGGAGAGGGCAAGUCUGGUGUCAGCCGCCGUGGUAAUACCAGCUCUCCGAGUGGUGUGGAUGUUUAUU